UCUCAUUCUUAUUUUUUCAACUGACUCAAUUAACUUCCAAACACUCUCAUCAAACUACACAAUCAAAUUAAAACAUGGAUUAUAACAGACUCACAAACUACACAACCAUGCAGAGACUCAUCAAACUGAACAACCAAAUUAAAACAUGGACACAAAAUCAAAAAGAUUUUAUGACUCAAAUAACAAUACUAAAUCCUAAGUUUAAUUUCUUCAGAGUACAACGUACAUUCCAAUGAAAUAUCUAGAAAAGGGUAAUGCCGGAAUAAAAUGUGAAGUCGACGCCAUCUUCCUCACAAUUGAUCUCCAAACUCUGUGUUCAC
rnacentral:lncRNA from 1 species